AGCAGCAUCGCGGUGGCGGAGCGUCGUUUGCGACGCCCAACACACAAAACAAGCGGUGAGUGCUUUGGGGUGGGGUGACUGCGUACCUUUUGUAUAAUGGGUCAGCGACUUAUAUUCUGUAGCAAGGUUAACCGUAUAGGGGAGCCGAAGGGAAACCGAGUCUUAACUGGGCGUUAAGUUGCAGGGUAUAGACCCGAAACCCGGUGAUCUAGCCAUGGGCAGGUUGAAGGUUGGGUAACACUAACUGGAGGACCGAACCGACUAAUGUUGAAAAAUUAGCGGAUGACUUGUGGCUGGGGGUGAAAGGCCAAUCAAACCGGGAGAUAGCUGGUUCUCCCCGAAAGCUAUUUAGGUAGCGCCUCGUGAACUCAUCUUCGGGGGUAGAGCACUGUUUCGGCUAGGGGGUCAUCCCGACUUACCAACCCGAUGCAAACUGCGAAUACCGAAGAAUGUUAUCACGGGAGACACACGGCGGGUGCUAACGUCCGUCGUGAAGAGGGAAACAACCCAGACCGCCAGCUAAGGUCCCAAAGUCACAGUUAAGUGGGAAACGAUGUGGGAAGGCUCAGACAGCCAGGAUGUUGGCUUAGAAGCAGCCAUCAUUUAAAGAAAGCGUAAUAGCUCACUGGUCGAGUCGGCCUGCGCGGAAGAUGUAACGGGGCUAAACUGUGCACCGAAGCUGCGGCAGCGACGCUUAUGCGUUGUUGGGUAGGGGAGCGUUCUGUAAGCCUGCGAAGGUGUCCUGUGAGGGAUGCUGGAGGUAUCAGAAGUGCGAAUGCUGACAUAAGUAACGAUAAUGCGGGUGAAAAGCCCGCUCGCCGGAAGACCAAGGGUUCCUGUCCAACGUUAAUCGGGGCAGGGUGAGUCGACCCCUAAGGCGAGGCCGAAAGGCGUAGUCGAUGGGAAACGGGUUAAUAUUCCCGUACUUGGUGUUACUGCGAAGGGGGGACGGAGAAGGCUAUGUUGGCCGGGCGACGGUUGUCCCGGUUUAAGCGUGUAGGCUGGUUUUCCAGGCAAAUCCGGAAAAUCAAG
rnacentral:rRNA from 1 species